GUGUUCCUUCUGCGGUCAAUUUUUUCACAUCACGUUUGUCUCUGUGUUAUUUUUAUUAUGUAGAGAUUUUAUGAAGCAUUUCAUACUGCUGAAUACUAGGUAAUAAGAAAUCUGACCUGAGAAUAUUUGUCUUUUGAUCAGUUGCGGCCAAAAUCCUUCUGUUGGGAUUCUGAACUAUGACAUCAUGGCAAGAUUUCGCAGAAGAACAUGCAUCAUUUUGUUGCUUUUUAUUUUGUUUAUUUGCUCCAUAAUGAUGGCUUUGAAGACUCUGAGACCUGACAGAGCUGGCUUUGGGGAUCCAUUUGGACUUGGUUUGUUGCCGGAGCUUCAACAACGGACAGUGCUCUUAGACAGUAAACAGAAUUCGUUAAAUAGGGCUCAAGGAGAUACUGUGACACGUGUUAGUAAUUUGCAUAGUAUUGCUGUCAAUACUAUGAAAGCAUCUAUGUUUCCAGUAAAAAAGCUGGAAGAGGAGCUGUCUUCUCCUAAUUAUAACUUUCAUAUCUUCUACUAUACUUGGUAUGGGAAUCCACAGUUUGAUGGUAAAUACAUUCACUGGAACCAUCCGUUGUUGCCACACUGGGACCCCAAAAUUGCAAACAAUUAUCCAAAGGGAAGGCAUACUCCUCCUGAGGACAUUGGGGCCAACUUUUAUCCAGAACUUGGAUCUUACAGUUCCAAAGACCCUACUGUCAUAGAAGCCCACAUGAAACAAAUGCGUUCAGCUUCAACUGGUGUAAUAGUGCUUUCAUGGUACCCACCAGGUAUGGCUGAUGAAAAUGGAGAACCAACUGAUGAUUUGGUGCCAGUUGUUUUGGACUAUGCACACAAAUAUAACCUAAAGGUCACUUUUCAUAUCGAACCUUACAAAGACAGAGAUGAUCGCAGCAUGUACCACAAUGUCAAGUACAUCAUUGACAGCAUAUAUUAUAUCCUGUGCAGCUACAUAUUCUGUUCUCAGUGGGGUUGUUACUGGCUGAAUCACAAGAAGUAUUGAAAGCUGUUCGAAGACAGCAAAUGUUUCCAGACAAGUCUGAGGCAGAGAAGCAAACAAUAGACAUCAAAAAAUAUCUAAUGUCAGUAUGAUCAUUUCACACUGUCACUCCAGACUUCACUGCACUUCCAGACACUUUUGCAACUGUGCUGGCUGACAUUAUUUCAACACAGUUACAAAACAUUUAUUAGACCUCCAGCUGUUCUGUGGCAGUGUAAGUGGGAAGACAAUGAUAAAAUUAUAUCCAACUUGUUAUAUAUUAAAUAUUAAUUCCUUUUUUUUUUUUUUUUUUUGCAAAUAUUAUUUUAAGAUCUAAUCUUACCAAGGGAGAAGUAUGCUGUUCCCAAGGGAGCUACUCUGUGCAGAGUGCAGCUAGUGAAACCCUUUUGUCUAAGUUGUACUGUGGAUGUGCUUUUGCAUUUUCUGCAUACUAGUGACAGUGAGUACGACAAGAUUUGGUGGUAAUUUGUCCUAAAACACAAAUCAGACACUUCUAGCUUUUGCUGAAUUGUUAGGCUCUGAAAGAGGUGCUGGCAGCUACACAGGUUGUAGGCCCAAAUCUAAAGGUCACAGAUGUCAGCUGGAUACUUAAGAUUUUCAUACUGAAUUUCAAAUCAAUGCCUAACUACCAUUUGUGCCUUUGAAAAUAUGCCUUUGUGUGUUUUGUUGAAUCAGAGCCUACAUGUGGACUAGCUCACAUGAUAUGGUACAGGGUGAAGUCUAUAGCUAAAGGCUUCACAAGAUUAAGCAAACAACUCUUUCCUGAUGCACAACUCUUUUUCUUUGCUGUCUGUAACUUCAGUGAAGACAAAAUCUUGCUCGGUUCCAAGAGAUUGUAACAGAUUGAAAAUUAAAUAAGGAAAACUUUGCAGGACAGCACAGGGAUACCUAUGAUCACAUUGUUGACAGUGAAUCUCAUGGAACAGAAAUAGCUUAGCAGAAUCAAAUGAGUCCUGUGUUUUCCUAGUCUUGCUGGGGGAAGAAAGAAAGAGAGUUUGUAUUAGCCAGCUGUCAGUGACAGGUAUUGAUCAAUUACAAAACUGAUGAGACGUAGAACUUCACUGCAAUGAGAAGAGUUUAGGUUGUGACAUUCCUGCAGCCUGUUACUUCUACCUGUCUUACCAGGUGCUGCAAGCUGGCAGGUCCAGAAGCACUGGGGACUUUACAAGUUCAGCUGUUAAACAGAUGCAAAUAACUUAUUCACAGAUAAAUGUUGAUAAGAAUAUUGGAAUUAAGGAAAUAUAUUUGGUGGAGAAAGGACACAACUGUAGCAAUGAAAAAAAUGUUCCCAGAGUUUGAAGGCAGCCUUUUAGAUAUACUUUCACAGUGCUGAGUCCCUCUUCACUGAUGCUUAAUUAGCACUUUCUUAUCCAUUGUUGCUUAUGUUUGCCUGAUUACACAAUGACAAUGUCAUCUCAUUCUCUUUCACCACAUUCUACUUUGAGAACUAUUUGGCAGUCUAAACCCCUUUCGGAUAUCCAGUCCACCAAAUAGUCACAAAUUGCUUGUCUCUGUUUCAUAUUAAUUAUCAUACACAAUACUUGAAAUUAUCUUUCACAUACUUGAAAUUUUCAUAGCUAAAAAAUCCAUAUUCUACUUAUCAUUUGGUUUAAUCUGUAGGGUAAGUUCAUAUAAGCAGGACAAACUAUCUUUCUGUUCUGAAUUCUAGAUCAAAAGUUGAAGGUGAGUUGUUUCUUUUCCAUUUUUUCACCAGAAAGAAAAAAUAUUCAUAUUCAGUGGGUUUUAUCAUAGGCUUUGUCAUAUCUUGACAAAUAAUUAUGAGCUUCAAGUUUUGUUACUCAGCUUCAGUUUUCAGUGGAAAUUCAGUGCAAUUUCUCUAAUUUAGGUUUAGCAGGUGAUUUAUUUCUUGCAGUUGGUACAUAAAUCUUAUAUCAUUCGUUCAAAUUUACCUGAUCUUAUUAAGAUAUCAUCCUGGUUUCAGCUGGAUUCAAGUUAAUUUUUUCUCAGUAGCUGUAACAGUACUGUGUUUUGGAUUCAGAAUGAGAAUAGUGUUGAUAAUGUGCUGAAGUUUAGAUUUUGCUAAGUUGUUUUUAUUCUAAGCCAAGGACCUUUUUACUGGUCUUGUGCUCUGCAAGUGAGGAGGUGCACAAAAGAAAACCAGGAGGGAGGAUGGCCAGAACAGGUGUCCCAAACUGGCCAAAAGGAUAUUCCACGCCACAGAAUGUCAUGCAGAGUAUAUAAAAUGGGGGAAGUUACUUGAAAAGGUGGCUGAGCUGGACUGAGGAAGGAGAGUGUGGCAUUGGUCAGUGGGUGGUAAGGAAAUGUAUUAUGCAUCACUCGUUGAGGCCUUUUUCCAUUAUAUUACUAUUACUAUUAUUAAUUAUUAUUUUUAUUAUUAUCAUCAUCAUCAUCAACUACUGUUUUUACUCUAUUUCACUUUCUUUUCUGUGUUUAAACUAUUCUUAUAUCAACCUACAAAUUUUACUUUGAUUUUCCUCCCCAUUCCACCAGGGUGGUAGGGAGAGAGGGGUGUUGAGGGAGCAGCUGCCUGGAGCUUAAUUUCAGUUGGGCUUAAAUCAUGACAUAUCAAAAGAGUUUUUGAGGGGGACUGCAUAGAAAAUGUUCAAAGCAGUAAAACACUAGCAGUGACUUCUCUUCUUGGUACAUUACUGGCAACCAUAAUAAUACAAAAUAUUAUCUGUGAACAUUCUCAGUAGAAGUGUAAAACACCAUCUAUUAUAAUUUUUAUUUUUAUCAUAUAAGCAAAAAGUGGUGUUUAGUAUAAAUUAUGUUUACAUUAUGAAGUAAAUAUAUUCUUUUAAAAAUUAUAUUAAUUCUGAAUGAGACAUACAUCAAAUGGGAAAAGGGAUGAAAGCAUCCUAUGCUUAUUAAUAGUAGCUGUUUCAAGGCAGACAGCUCAAGAUUAGAUUUUUCUAGUAUUGUUUUUCAUGGUAUUCUACAACCUUACUUGCACACAUAUACUAAAGUCAAACACAGAGAAAUAUGUUUAUUCAUAUGUUGCCUUUUUGUGAAUGUAUCUAUAUCCUUUAUGCCCUGCUUUUUGACUCAUAGAUAUCCCAGGAAUCACUGGAUAUGACUUUGUACAGAUUUAUUCAACCUCAGUUUGAGCAGCUCAGGCCAGGCCAGAACAGAACAAAUUUUUUGAAUUUUCCUCACACACUUUGUUUGGGAAUGGCUAUUAGCCAUAACACCAGUAUAUCUGUUAAAAAGUAGAGGUAAUAGGACUCUUCACUGUGUUUUCUGUAACCUGGCAUAUUCUCAAGCAAUGUUCCAGUCAGACAACCUGUGGAAACACCUGCCACCCCACACAUCACACCCGUGCCAGACCUGCCUUUGGCAGAUACUUCCCCACACACACAGCAGAACCAGCUGCUACCAGAGUCCAGGUGCACCAAACCCUCAUUCCAGUGAGUGAAAAUCAAGGUAAACAUGCCUGUUUCAUAAAUCUUGCAGGGAUUUAAACACAAGGAUAACACCAGUAUCAAGUUCUUCUCCACUGUUAACUCUGGGCACACCUAAGGACACGCCAAACAAAGUCAAAUUGCAAAUAUGCAGUUUCUAGGUAAAAUUAAGCAACCUCUGGAUAAUGCACUAUUGUAUUAAAGUGUACAUUUUCUACAUUUUGGAUUUAAGCAGAUGACAUUUGCCUUCCUUUUGUAUAGCAAAGUCUAUCAUAAAUUAACUUAUAUUAUUUUUUUAAGUGUCCAUAUAGAAAAUCUUCUAUUUAAAAUUAAGCCAGUACCUAGAGAAGCAAAAAUUUCUCUCUCUGUACAGCUUGUAAAGGACAGAAAAGCCAAUAUCCCAACUUCCAUUUUAUUUACAGUCAGGGGCAAUAGCCUUGCCAUAUAAACAUCCUGUGAGGAGGAAAAUCUAUGCUUUUAUCUGAAUCUCAGAUAUCCUGUUUCUAGUGUAUUUCUAAGUACUCUCUAUAUCUAUUUGUUUGGCACCUGUCUCAGCCCAAGGCUCUUGUCACUGCUCCACCUAGGGUUAUGCCUAGGGUUAGGGUCACAACUAGGGUUAGGGUUCAAAAAACUACAAAGCCUGGAGCUCCAGGGACUGUGCAGAUAUAACAGAGCUGCCAAACUUACAAUAAAAAACCACCAUUAAAUAUUUCUGUUUGUAAGUUUUGGGUUGGCACCUCUCUCAGCCCAAGGCUCUUUUCACUGCUCCACCUAGGGUUACCCCUAGGGUUAGGGCUCGGAAAAGUACAAAGCCCAGAGCUCCAGGGACUGUGCACCUACAAUAGACCUGCCAAACUGAAUAGAAAACCACUAGUUAAUAGCUCUCUCUAUGUCUUUUUAUUUGGCACCUGUCUUACCCUCAGGGUCUUUUUACUGUUCCACCUAGGGUUAGGGUUACACCUAGGGUUAGGGUUCAGAAAACUACAAAGCCCAGAAGUCCAGGUACUUUGCAGCUACAAUAGACCGCCAAAGUGAUUUGAAAACCACCACUUAAAUGAUAAGCUGCUAUGGAGUAUUCAGACAGGGUUCUGUGCUAUCAUUUCCUAUUUUUUAUCACUAGUGCUGUUGAAAAAAGUGCUUCCAACUUUAUAAUUUUUUUAUUAUUACACAGUAUUACCUGGUCUGCAGAGACAUUGGCUCUUUCAGGAAAACACCUGCAUAAUUUAUUCUUAAAUCCAUACAAACAGAGAAUAUAAAUCAUAAAGAAUGAGUAACCAACAGCUGAAAAGCAUUUUGCACAAUUAUGCCCAUACUUUGUCUUCAAAGUGUUUGUAAUUAUAUCAUUUCAAACUCAAGAAAGAUGUGGAAAAGGUUAUGGAGAAUUUACACUGUAGUUCCUCAUUGUAUAAGAAUCAAGGAUAUAAAAAUGAAGAUCAGGGAAUUGCCCAAAAAUUAUUUUCUCAUCAAAAUCUCAAAUAUUAAAACUUAAAGUGAUGAAAAUUAUUCACAUAAGAAGGUAGUGGCUUGUAACAAGGAAAAUUACACUCUUUCACAACCAUAGGUAUAAGCGCAUCUUGCAGCAAAAAUGUUAUUUUAUAGAUACGAUAUUAUUCAACAAUAGUAAGGAAAAUAAUCUAAAUGUCUGUCAGCCUAUAACUGCAUUGAAAACCACAGUAUAAAAAGCCAAGAAUCUUUUUGGAUCUCUUUGUCAGUGAUUUAAACCUGGGUGCUAGGAGGGGAUUCAGCUUCAGAUAGAGACGCUGUCAUCACGGUAUCUUUGUGGGGGUAUUUCCACACAAGGUAAACAUUCCAGUCCCACCUGCUAAGAGAUUUCUAGUCAAAGGAUUCAGAGUGAUCCAACUAAGGUUUCAGCAGACACUAGCAUUUGAUCAGCUGAAUUGUUGCCUCAGCUGUAUCUGACAGAGAACUACAUUUCAUUGCCUAAACUUAAUAAUCUCAUGGUGGUUUUUAUGCAUUACAACAUUCCUCUAGUUUCUGCUUAUCCCUUCAAAGGACACGGGGGUUUUUCUCAUCCCAUGCAGAGGGCUCAGCUACUACAGAGAGCUUCAAAUGCCACGAGGUGCCCAUAUUUAGAGACCUGCAUUUGUUCACCCUACUUUUAUGAAUUGAAAUAGGAUUUUUUCUUAUUCAGCAUAAUGUUUGUGCUUCAGUUUUGUGCAGGCAAGUAUUUCUCCAGAGGGACCUUGGCAGUUAGGUUUUCCCUUAGGUCCCAAAUAUUUAGUCAUAAGUAUCUUCACUGCAAUAAAAGAACAAAUUAAAAAGUCAUAGAAAUAUGACCACUAGAUUUUAUAGUUAUAAAGCUUUAUUUGAAUGUGGUGAGCAUUCAAGUAAGAGUAAUUUAUUUUAUACUACUUCUUGCUAUUGCAAGUUCAUGACUGCAAAACAGAUAUAAAACCAGUGGAGACAUUCAUUAAAGAAUUAAUUAAAAAACCAAAAAUAAUGAAUUAUACAUCAGAACAACACUAUGACUCCUCUGAGGGGUAGGCAUUAUAUUAAUUGUAUACAUUCACUUCCUUUAAUUUGUUUUAUUAUUUUUUUUCAUUCAGAGACAAAUUGUAAAAUAUAUCAAAUCAGUGCUGACAUCUGACCAUUAAGGUGUCUGCAUCAGUAAUAAAGGAUAAAUUAUCAUCUCAGAUAAUUCCCUGAAUAUAUAGCAGAAAUAAUGAGUUGAACUUGAUUUUAGAUUUCAAUAUUAGUAACAGGGGUACUCAGUUCAGAACUUGACAGCCCCUAACCUGAGGAUGUAGCCAAGGCCUCUCUAGGACUCUGACUCACUUUGAUAGUAAAGGUCCUGCUUGCAGUACAAGCCAAAAAAAUUCAGAUGGAAUUUCUGAUGGAGGAAUAAUCGUGCUGUAGCUUAUUUACCUUGUGAUAGCUCUGAUUCCGUGGACUGAUGACACUGAUAAUUAAGAUAACUUUGUGAUUUUCCUUGAACUCCCUUAUGUGAGCUGCCCUUCCUUGGUGUGUCACACAGUGGGACCAGCACAGUGGCCAGCCAUUUAGUGUGACUUAGACCUUCUUAGGAGUCAGUCUACUGGUCUCCAUCCUUCCUGACCUGUUUUCAAGGAAGGAUUAAAAGUCAGGGCAAAAGAACUGUGGGACAGCUGUUUGCUGGCAGUUGCACAGUGUGAUAUAUUUCAAACAUCCUAAAUUUAUCUGAAAGGUAAAUAGAGACACAAUUAUUCCUGCAUGUUUUUUCUGGUUGAAUAAUUACCUAUAAUAGUAUUUUUAUUGCUGAGUUUCUAGAUUCAAUUAGAUACCUAUUAUAUUUUUUUACCCUACUCACAGAUCAGUGUGGCUUUAAAAACUUAAGGGUUUUUCUCAGAUAUUCUGUGCUUCCUAAUGAAUGGAAGUAUUGCAAUAUAAUCACAUAUCUUAUCAGUUGCAAUAUUAACCCUGGCCACUUUAAAAAAUGUUUUCAUGUUUCUGAUAUCAUGAUGCCAUGUUCUACCAAGGCAAACAAAUGAAAUUUCAAUUAUGAUAUAUCUGACAAAGCUAUAACAAACAUGUCAUACUAUGGAAAUUAUUCUUCUCUAAAAAUAGUCAGGAACAAACUCCAUCCCUUUUUCAAGAGCCUGUCAGACUCUUUCAUAAGAAAUAUUCAUACAAUGUUUCUCUUCCUUAUUACAUUUCCGUAUUAUCACUGAAUAUUCUAUCAUAAUUUCUUAACAUUAUUACAACUUUAUAUGGUAAUGUGAUUGAUUGUAUGGCAAAGUGACAUUAAGAAAGUGAUUUGUUUGUUUCUGGAUUGUUUUAAGGAAAUUAAAGUGUUGAAAAAAUUAAAAUGAGCUAGCAGAAGAAAAAAGCUGUUAGAAAGGCUCCAAGAGCACUUGAAUUUAAUUUCUCUACCAGUUGUGUACUCAGUAAACAAUACUGAGUUGGGAUUUUCUGUUUUGAUACUUAGACGUUUCUGAAACACAAUAGUAGCAUAUAUGCAUAUACUUCUUUAUUUAAAAACUAAAUAAUAGUGGUUUUUAAAGUAUUUUUUUUCUACUCUGGAACCACAGUGCCAGAGAUGUCCUCUUGAUGCCCUUUCAAAUCCUGAUUUUUUGCUUCAUUUCAACAAGGGAAAUCUUCUUGCCCUUUUUCCUAUUGUCAUUUCUCCAUUAGACAGUGCCAGUUACACGGUAACAUUUUUUCAUGCCAAUAUACUUUUCAGAUGCAAAUAGGCAGGUUACAGAUUAGGUACAGAAAGGACGCCUUUUGUGAAAUGCACUAACUUCUCACUGUCUUUUCUUUACAUCAAAGCUAUUUGUUCUUCAAUUAGCCCAAGACUGACAAUUCCUGAGCAUUAUACUUUCUAUUCUUUUGCAUUUCUAUUUUUCACUUUUAUUUCACUUCAAUUAUUUUGACAUAUGAACAGUUGGAGUUUGUUUAAAUUCAGUGCAUAUGCUUCACUUCUUGGUUUUCUCAAACUAUGCUAACUGGUUUGCAAGGAAAAAGAGUAAAACAAGUUGAUGUUAUCUUAAUUUUCUGUACCUGAGUAUUUGCCAGAGAUUCCACAGCACAUUUUUUUAAUAUUUCUCUCUGUACAGGAAUUGUGAAAAGCACAUGUAGCAUUUUUUUUUCCCCAUCCAAAAAAAGUUUAAUAUCUAUGGGGCAACUCUACCCAGCUGUAGAGAUAAAAAAUAGAAUAAGGAUAGCAUACCUUGUUUUCAGUUUCUUUUACUUCAGUGUAACAGAUAAAAAUAAAAUAAAGGGAAUGGUUUAUGGCCUCAUGGUUGUAGCGCUGCUUCUCUAUGCUGCAUAUUGACUAUAUUUAAAGUGUAGUUGGUGGUAGGAAUGGAAAACAUCUGUUUGAAAAGAAAAAAGUGACUAGAUUAUUCAGUCAUGUCCUUUUGUCUUGUUUCUUUUCACAUGUUCUUGUCCUGUGUUGAUCACUGCUGUCCUGUUGUACGUUGAGCCUGGAGAUCACAUAAGUGCCUCUUGCUCUUCAAACUCUAGAGGAAAUUAGAUGAUCUGCUUGACUAUCUUUUCUCUGGAGAAAAAAGGUAGGAAAGCAUCCCCAAAGAGGAGCAUGCCUUGAGUCCAACAAAGACAUUAAUUCACUGCACUGGAGUCCUUGGAACUGGUAUCCUGGAACACCAUUGCCUAUCAAUUUUCUAAGGAUUCUCUUGACACCAGGAGAGCUGUUAUAUUUAGAUGCUUAUCUGCUUUUGACUGCAGUGCAGUACUUCCAAAGAUGUCUUUCAUUUUGAGGCUUAACACAUUAAAUAUCACCUGAUCUGAAGAUGUUUGAGAGUGUAGAGCCUCCUGCAUAGAAUAAAUGUCUUGUCUAAAAAUAGCA